UACGCCGGGGGCUAGCGUUGCUCGGACUCACUGGGCGUAAAGCGCACGUAGGCGGAUUGUUAAGUCAGGGGGGAAAUCCUGGAGCUCAACUCCAGAACUGCCUUUGAUACUGGCGAUCUCGAGUCCGGGAGAGGUGAGUGGAACUGCGAGUGUAGAGGUGAAAUUCGUAGAUAUUCGCAAGAACACCAGUGGCGAAGGCGGCUCACUGGCCCGGUACUGACGCUGAGGUGCGAAAGCGUGGGGAGCAAACAGG
rnacentral:rRNA from 1 species